rnacentral:rRNA from 1 species
GUUAGGAAUAUUCGUCAAUGGGGGAAACCCUGAACGAGCAAUGCCGCGUGAGUGAUGACGGUCUUUAUGAUUGUAAAACUCUGUUGUAUGGGAAGAACACUAGAUAUAGGAAAUGAUAUCUAGCUGACGGUACCAUGCCAGAAAGCCCCGGCUAACUACGUGCCAGCAGCCGCGGUAAUACGUAGGGGGCGAGCGUUAUCCGGAUUUAUUGGGCGUAAAGCGUGUGUAGGCGGUUUAUUAAGUAUAAGAUUAAAGCCUGGGGCUUAACUCCAGUUCGUCUUAUAAAGUGGUAGACUUGAGUGUGGUAGAGGCAAAUGGAAUUUCUAGUGUAGCGGUAAAAUGCGUAGAUAUUAGAAGGAACACCGGUGGCGAAGGCGAUUUGCUGGGCCAUUACUGACGCUGAGACACGAAAGCGUGGGGAGCGAAUAGGAUUAGAUACCCGGGUAGUCC